GUGCCAGCCGCCGCGGUAAUACGGAGGGUGCAAACGUUGCUCGGAAUCAUUGGGCGUAAAGCGAACGUAGGCGGCUAUGUAAGUCGGGUGUGAAAGCCCUCGGCUCAACCGAGGAAGUGCAUUCGAAACUGCAUGGCUUGAGUAGCGGAGAGGAUAGCGGAAUUCCCGGUGUAGAGGUGAAAUUCGUAGAUAUCGGGAGGAACACCAGUGGCGAAGGCGGCUAUCUGGACGCAUACUGACGCUGAAGUUCGAAAGCGUGGGGAGCAAACAGGAUUAGAUACCCCCGUAGUCC
rnacentral:rRNA from 1 species